rnacentral:tRNA from 1 species
GUCCCGUUCGUCUAGAGGCCUAGGACACCGCCCUUUCACGGCGGUAACAGGGGGGGUUCGACUCCCCCCCUACGGGAUA